rfam:Ictidomys tridecemlineatus contig102963, whole genome shotgun sequence.
GGGGUUGUGGCUCAGUGGUAGAGCACUUGCCUAGCAUGUGUGAGGCACUGGGUUCAAUUCUCAGCACCG